rnacentral:piRNA from 1 species
UCCCUGACCCAGACCUUACCACACCUGUCC